UACGGAGGGGGCAAGCGUUAUCCGGAUUCACUGGGCUUAAAGGGUGCGUAGGUGGGCAGGUAAGUCAGUGGUGAAAUCUCCGGGCUUAACCCGGAAACUGCCAUUGAUACUAUCUGUCUUGAAUACCGUGGAGGUGAGCGGAAUAUGUCAUGUAGCGGUGAAAUGCGUAGAUAUGGCAUAGAACACCAAUUGCGAAGGCAGCUCACUACGCGAAUAUUGACACUGAGGCACGAAAGCGUGGGGAUCAAACAGG
rnacentral:rRNA from 1 species